rnacentral:misc_RNA from 1 species
GAUGAAGAACGUAGCAAAAUGCGAUAAGUAAUGUGAAUUGCAGAAUUCAGUGAAUCAUCGAAUCUUUGAACGCACAUUGCGCCCGCCAGUAUUCUGGCGGGCAUGCCUGUUCGAGCGUCAUUUCAACCCUCAAGCACAGCUUGGUGUUGGGACUCGCGUUAAUUCGCGUUCCUCAAAUUGAUUGGCGGUCACGUCGAGCUUCCAUAGCGUAGUAGUAAAACCCUCGUUACUGGUAAUCGUCGCGGCCACGCCGUUAAACCCCAACUUCUGAAUGUUGACCUCGGAUCAGGUAGGAAUACCCGCUGAACUUAAGCAUACAAUAAGCGGAGGA